UACGUAUUGAGCAAGCGUUAUCCGGAUUUACUGGGUGUAAAGGGAGCGCAGGCGGCUUUGCAAGUCUGAUGUGAAAGGCCGGGGCUCAACCCCGGGACUGCAUUGGAAACUGUAAAGCUAGAGUGCCGGAGAGGUAAGCGGAAUUCCUAGUGUAGCGGUGAAAUGCGUAGAUAUUAGGAGGAACACCAGUGGCGAAGGCGGCUUACUGGACGGCAACUGACGCUGAGGCUCGAAAGCGUGGGGAGCAAACAGG
rnacentral:rRNA from 1 species